GUGAAUCAUCAAAUUUUUGAACGCAUAUUGCACUCUCUGGUAUUCCGGGGAGUAUGCCUGUUUGAGGGUAAUUAAAAAGAAUAUUUAACCAAUUUUUUUGGUCAAGGGAAAUGAGCUCUCCGCGUUUAUAGCGGUAGCUUGGGAUAAAUGGUCAAGUCUCAUUUUAGUCGAGACGCGUGAUAGUAUUAUAUCGCGAACUCUUCCUUAUGUGAC
rnacentral:misc_RNA from 1 species